rnacentral:rRNA from 1 species
CCUACGGGUGGCAGCAGUGGGGAAUAUUGGGCAAUGGGCGCAAGCCUGACCCAGCAACGCCGCGUGAAGGAAGAAGGCUUUCUGGUUGUAAACUUCUUUUCUCAGGGACGAAGAAAGUGACGGUACCUGAAGAAAAAGCAUCGGUUAACUCCGUGCCAGCAGCCGCGGUAAUACGGAGGAUGCGAGCGUUAUCGGGAUUUAUUGGGUUUAAAGGGUGCGUAGGCGGAAUGCCAAGUCAGCGGGAAAAUCGCGGGGCUAAACCUCGCUCCGCCGUUGAAACUGGCGUUCGUGAGAGGGCGUGAGGUAGGCGGAAUGCAUGGUGUAGCGGUGAAAUGCAUAGAGAUCACGCAGAACUCCGAUUGCGAAGGCAGCAUACCGGCGCACAACUGACGCUGAGGCACGAAAGCGUGGGUAUCGAACAGGAUUAGAUACCCGAGUAGUC